GGGCACAUGAGCCUCAGGCAGACCUCAGGUGCCGGGCCUGAGCUGGCCUCUCCUGCUGUUGCUACUGCUGCUGCUUGAGCUGCUGGCCUCAGGAGUGCAGGAAACAUGGGGUCACUGGGGAACUGAGAACAGCCACACUGGCAUAGUUGACACCUUUUGCUGGAGCAUCCAUAGCCUGUUGUGAAAAGGCAAUAUCUGCUGCUCAAAAGAUCUUGACCUGGCUCACCAAGAGGUUUGUGUUGGGAGUACAUAUGUUUCUACAGACAUUGUGGAGAGUCUAGUAAGAGCUUUUGGAUGUUCUUGGACUUGACAUCUCCAACCUGUCCCAGCAUUUCAACCCAGCCUUAGUGGCCAGUAGCCUAGCCUAGGCCCUUCUUUUGGUCAGUGCCAGCUGCUUGGCCUACUGAUUCUAGUUUCUGACCCUGGACAUAACCUUCAAAGCACUGCAUCUGGUGUUCAGCACUUCUUCUGGAUCGUGUGGACCAUCCUGUUCUCCAGGUCCUGCAAGCACAUUCUGCACAAGGAUAAGGCAUUCUAAAAGCUAAGCCUUGGAAUUCUGUUGAAAAUCACUCAGCCAUAAAAUAAAAGACACCUGAGAAGAUUCCUAAACUCACUCUGGGAAAGAGAAAGGUCACAGAGCCACAGAGGCUGGACCUCUAGCAGCAGAGGACACAGAAGAAUGAAGACGAGACGCGGAGCUCCAACUGCAGCCAGAGACAAAGGCCCCGCCACAUCCCGGAAGCCGCCCUGUCCU